GGGCCUGUAGCUCAGCCUGGUUAGAGCACCGCUCUUAUAAGGCGGGGGUCCCAAGUUCAAAUCUUGGCAGGCCCA
rnacentral:tRNA from 1 species